AGAUUUGCUGUAAUUUUUCGAGUUUCUUUUUUUAACAUUAACAAAUUUUAACUGUCUGACAAUGAUAUCUACACUUAAUAUAGCUCUUAGGCGUGAUGCUCUGAUGGCUUUGAAGCCUCAAUUAUGGAAGCCAGUACAAAGAUAUGGCAUCAAGAAAAUUAUAGACCAGGGCGUAGCCGAAGAUAAUAUUUACUUGCUUAAACAAAACUAUCAUCUAAUGAAGAAUGCAAAAAGGUUGAAGACACUAAAGCAACGUAAAAUCACAAAGGAACUCGAAAAAUUACAGGAAAAUAUUGUUGAGGUUAGAGCACUUUUGCAUACAUAUGAACGUUACGGCAGUAAAAAGAAAACUGAAAGUAACGAUGACCCGUGGAAUGUUUAAAUUAAUGCAAUUGGGCCUAUGUCAGCAGCUAAAAUACUCCAGUUUUACUCCGCAAAGGAUUGGCAUACUGCAGCAGCAAAAUAAUUUCUUACAAAUUUAUUUGGAGAAGAUACUUAAGAAAGUAAGAAAGGAUAUGAGAGCACGCCAAGUUGAAAAGCGUGAAAGGGAACAACGAAAAAAUAAGAAGCGCAAAGAAAAAGAAAAAUAAAAGAGACUAUAAUGCCAAGUUAUAAAUUUAAUUACCAUGAUUCGCCAUUCCUUUGGCUUCAAAUUGCUAAAACUACAAAAAUGUUGGCUCAAGACAUGCAUUAAAGAAUGUAGCUCGGAGUUGCUGAAGCGGGGCAAGUCUCGAGAGAACACUUACUUUCUCAAAAUACAAUAUGAACAACUGCAAGGACUAAUGAAAUCGAAGCUUCGGGAGCGUAAGAAGCUUGAGAAACACAUAGAUAAGCUCAAAAAAGAAAUGAAGGAUGCGGAAACUAAAUAUAAAAAGGCUGCUGCAGACAAAGGACAGAGCUGAUGAUGAUGAUUAAAUUGAUAAGUGAUAUUUAGCUAAGCUGAGCAGGCUCUUAAAAUAGAAUCGUAACAAAUAGUAAAAAUAUAUAGCAUAGACUUUCAGUUUGCUGUAACCUCAGAUCAAAAGGUUAUAAACCAAAUCGAAAUUAAAAGUGUAUAUUUAAAAUUUUGACGUGCGUUUCUCUUCUAUAAUGCAUCAUGUAUACAAACUACUGCGCGCAACCAGGGGUGGCAUGCUGCAGGGCUUUAGGCCCUAUACUGACAAGCUACACGAGCGAGCAAGAGCCGUGGAGAAUGUGCACUUUUUAAAAAUUCAAUAUCAACAAUUGCUGAAUCUACGCAACAGACUUGGCAAGCAAAAAAAAGCACAAGAGUUUUCGCAGCAAGCCAAAGCAGCAGCAGCUCAAGUCAAGAAGCAUGAAACAUGAAAUCAAAGUAGUUUGGCUGUUUACAAGCUGUAAAGCAUUUUAAAAUUUAACAAAAAAAAUAAUAAAAAAUAUAAAAAAAUAUGUGGAACGUGCUGCGCUGCAGGAAGAUGAUGGAACGAGCAAAACAAUUGCGCAAAAUAUAUUCAAAAUCGCAUGAAGAGAAAACGCGUCUAAUGCUGGAAAAGAAUAUGGCAAUACGCGAAAAACAGAUUUCAGAAUUGAUGCGCAAGCGUGAAACUCUUGCACGCAUUAAUGAAUUUAUUUCUAAGCAAGGGGAAUACGUAGAUUUGCGCUUGCGCAGCAAUAAGAAGCUGUUGGCGCAGGCCAUUGACCACUGGAACACCAGCAGCCAGGAGACAACAAAAUAAAAGCGCGUUCCACAUAGCA